rnacentral:rRNA from 1 species
UACGUAGGGGGCAAGCGUUGUCCGGAUUUAUUGGGCGUAAAGAGCGUGUAGGCGGCCACACAGGUCAGCUGUGAAAACUCGAGGCUCAACCUCGAGACGUCGGUUGAAACCGUAUGGCUAGAGUCCGGAAGAGGAGAGUGGAAUUCCCGGUGUAGCGGUGAAAUGCGCAGAUAUCGGGAAGAACACCAAUAGCGAAGGCAGCUCGCUGGGACGUUACUGACACUGAGGCGCGAAAGCGUGGGGAGCGAACAGG